rnacentral:rRNA from 1 species
GGUUAAGCGACUAAGCGUACACGGUGGAUGCCCUGGCAGUCAGAGGCGAUGAAGGACGUGCUAAUCUGCGAUAAGCGUCGGUAAGGUGAUAUGAACCGUUAUAACCGGCGAUUUCCGAAUGGGGAAACCCAGUGUGAUUUGUCACACUAUCAUUAACUGAAUCCAUAGGUUAAUGAGGCGAACCGGGGGAACUGAAACAUCUAAGUACCCCGAGGAAAAGAAAUCAACCGAGAUUCCCCCAGUAGCGGCGAGCGAACGGGGAGGAGCCCAGAGCCUGAAUCAGUGUGUGUGUUAGUGGAAGCGUCUGGAAAGGCGCGCGAUACAGGGUGACAGCCCCGUACACAAAAAUGCACAUGCUGUGAGCUCGAUGAGUAGGGCGGGACACGUGGUAUCCUGUCUGAAUAUGGGGGGACCAUCCUCCAAGGCUAAAUACUCCUGACUGACCGAUAGUGAACCAGUACCGUGAGGGAAAGGCGAAAAGAACCCCGGCGAGGGGAGUGAAAAAGAACCUGAAACCGUGUACGUACAAGCAGUGGGAGCACGCUUCGGCGUGUGACUGCGUACCUUUUGUAUAAUGGGUCAGCGACUUAUAUUCUGUAGCAAGGUUAACCGAAUAGGGGAGCCGAAGGGAAACCGAGUCUUAACUGGGCGUUAAGUUGCAGGGUAUAGACCCGAAACCCGGUGAUCUAGCCAUGGGCAGGUUGAAGGUUGGGUAACACUAACUGGAGGACCGAACCGACUAAUGUUGAAAAAUUAGCGGAUGACUUGUGGCUGGGGGUGAAAGGCCAAUCAAACCGGGAGAUAGCUGGUUCUCCCCGAAAGCUAUUUAGGUAGCGCCUCGUGAAUUCAUCUCCGGGGGUAGAGCACUGUUUCGGCAAGGGGGUCAUCCCGACUUACCAACCCGAUGCAAACUGCGAAUACCGGAGAAUGUUAUCACGGGAGACACACGGCGGGUGCUAACGUCCGUCGUGAAGAGGGAAACAACCCAGACCGCCAGCUAAGGUCCCAAAGUCAUGGUUAAGUGGGAAACGAUGUGGGAAGGCCCAGACAGCCAGGAUGUUGGCUUAGAAGCAGCCAUCAUUUAAAGAAAGCGUAAUAGCUCACUGGUCGAGUCGGCCUGCGCGGAAGAUGUAACGGGGCUAAACCAUGCACCGAAGCUGCGGCAGCGACACUAUGUGUUGUUGGGUAGGGGAGCGUUCUGUAAGCCUGUGAAGGUGGCCUGUGAGGGUUGCUGGAGGUAUCAGAAGUGCGAAUGCUGACAUAAGUAACGAUAAAGCGGGUGAAAAGCCCGCUCGCCGGAAGACCAAGGGUUCCUGUCCAACGUUAAUCGGGGCAGGGUGAGUCGACCCCUAAGGCGAGGCCGAAAGGCGUAGUCGAUGGGAAACAGGUUAAUAUUCCUGUACUUGGUGUUACUGCGAAGGGGGGACGGAGAAGGCUAUGUUGGCCGGGCGACGGUUGUCCCGGUUUAAGCGUGUAGGCUGGUUUUCCAGGCAAAUCCGGAAAACUAAGGCUGAGGCGUGAUGACGAGGCACUACGGUGCUGAAGCAACAAAUGCCCUGCUUCCGGGAAAAGCCUCUAAGCAUCAGGUAACAUCAAAUCGUACCCCAAACCGACACAGGUGGUCAGGUAGAGAAUACCAAGGCGCUUGAGAGAACUCGGGUGAAGGAACUAGGCAAAAUGGUGCCGUAACUUCGGGAGAAGGCACGCUGAUAUGUAGGUGAAGCGACUUGCUCGUGGAGCUGAAAUCAGUCGAAGAUACCAGCUGGCUGCAACUGUUUAUUAAAAACACAGCACUGUGCAAACACGAAAGUGGACGUAUACGGUGUGACGCCUGCCCGGUGCCGGAAGGUUAAUUGAUGGGGUUAGCGGUAACGCGAAGCUCUUGAUCGAAGCCCCGGUAAACGGCGGCCGUAACUAUAACGGUCCUAAGGUAGCGAAAUUCCUUGUCGGGUAAGUUCCGACCUGCACGAAUGGCGUAAUGAUGGCCAGGCUGUCUCCACCCGAGACUCAGUGAAAUUGAACUCGCUGUGAAGAUGCAGUGUACCCGCGGCAAGACGGAAAGACCCCGUGAACCUUUACUAUAGCUUGACACUGAACAUUGAGCCUUGAUGUGUAGGAUAGGUGGGAGGCUUUGAAGUGUGGACGCCAGUCUGCAUGGAGCCGACCUUGAAAUACCACCCUUUAAUGUUUGAUGUUCUAACGUUGACCCGUGAUCCGGGUUGCGGACAGUGUCUGGUGGGUAGUUUGACUGGGGCGGUCUCCUCCUAAAGAGUAACGGAGGAGCACGAAGGUUGGCUAAUCCUGGUCGGACAUCAGGAGGUUAGUGCAAUGGCAUAAGCCAGCUUGACUGCGAGCGUGACGGCGCGAGCAGGUGCGAAAGCAGGUCAUAGUGAUCCGGUGGUUCUGAAUGGAAGGGCCAUCGCUCAACGGAUAAAAGGUACUCCGGGGAUAACAGGCUGAUACCGCCCAAGAGUUCAUAUCGACGGCGGUGUUUGGCACCUCGAUGUCGGCUCAUCACAUCCUGGGGCUGAAGUAGGUCCCAAGGGUAUGGCUGUUCGCCAUUUAAAGUGGUACGCGAGCUGGGUUUAGAACGUCGUGAGACAGUUCGGUCCCUAUCUGCCGUGGGCGCUGGAGAACUGAGGGGGGCUGCUCCUAGUACGAGAGGACCGGAGUGGACGCAUCACUGGUGUUCGGGUUGUCAUGCCAAUGGCACUGCCCGGUAGCUAAAUGCGGAAGAGAUAAGUGCUGAAAGCAUCUAAGCACGAAACUUGCCCCGAGAUGAGUUCUCCCUGACUCCCUGAGAGUCCUGAAGGAACGUUGAAGACGACGACGUUGAUAGGCCGGGUGUGUAAGCGCAGCGAUGCGUUGAGCUAACCGGUACUAAUGAACCGUGAGGCUUAACCUU